rnacentral:rRNA from 1 species
AGAGUUUGAUCAUGGCUCAGAAUCAACGCUGGCGGCGUGCCUAACACAUGCAAGUCGAACGAGAAAGGGGAGCAAUCCCUGAGUACAGUGGCGACCGGGUGAGUAACACGUGACUACCUACCCUUGAGUGGGGGAUAACCCCGGGAAACCGGGGCUAAUACCGCAUAAUAUCGAGAGAUCAAAGGAGCAAUCCGCUCUUGGAGGGGGUCGCGGCUGAUUAGCUAGUUGGUGAGGUAAUGGCUCACCAAGGCGAAGAUCGGUAUCCGGCCUGAGAGGGCGCACGGACACACUGGAACUGAAACACGGUCCAGACUCCUACGGGAGGCAGCAGUGGGGAAUUUUGCGCAAUGGGGGAAACCCCGACGCAGCAACGCCGCGUGGAGGAUGAAGCUCCUUGGAGUGUAAACUCCUUUCGACCGGGAAAAUAAUGAUGGUACCGGUGGAAGAAGCACCGGCUAACUCUGUGCCAGCAGCCGCGGUAAUACAGAGGGUGCGAGCGUUGUUCGGAAUUAUUGGGCGUAAAGGGCGCGUAGGCGGUAUUGUAAGUCACCUGUGAAACCUCUGGGCUUAACUCAGAGCCUGCAGGCGAAACUGCAAUGCUGGAGGGUGGGAGAGGUGCGUGGAAUUCCCGGUGUAGCGGUGAAAUGCGUAGAUAUCGGGAGGAACACCUGUGGCGAAAGCGGCGCACUGGACCACUACUGACGCCGAGGCGCGAAAGCUAGGGGAGCAAACAGGAUUAGAUACCCCCGUAGUCC